rnacentral:rRNA from 1 species
AGAACGAACGCUGGCGGCAGGCCUAACACAUGCAAGUCGAACGCCUCGCAAGAGGAGUGGCAGACGGGUGAGUAACACGUGGGAACGUACCCUUCGGUUCGGAAUAACUCAGGGAAACUUGUGCUAAUACCGGAUACGAUCGCGAGAUGAAAGAUUUAUCGCCGAAGGAUCGGCCCGCGUCUGAUUAGCUAGUUGGUGAGGUAAUGGCUCACCAAGGCGACGAUCAGUAGCUGGUCUGAGAGGAUGACCAGCCACAUUGGGACUGAGACACGGCCCAAACUCCUACGGGAGGCAGCAGUGGGGAAUAUUGGACAAUGGGCGCAAGCCUGAUCCAGCCAUGCCGCGUGAGUGAUGAAGGCCUUAGGGUUGUAAAGCUCUUUUACUCGGGAAGAUAGUGACGGUACCGAGAGAAUAAGCCCCGGCUAACUUCGCGCCAGCAGCCGC